GCCCUGAAGAGGUCAUUCAGUCUGGCUCUCAGGGGGAGGGGCCCUGAAGAGGUCAUUCAGUCUGGCUCUCAGUGGGAGGGGCCCUGAAGAGGUCAUUCAGUCUGGC